CAUCUUUUCAGAUCGGAUUCAAUGCCGUGCAGUAGGGUUGUGAAGUUGCGUUGGUAUAUGUCUUGUGGGUUUGUGGUGAUCCAUAUGCCGAGGUAUUUCAUUGCUCCCGUACACCAUCGAAAUGGGAAGAGUGGGCCGAGGGAUACGUAGUCCGCUACGGGUAUGGUGAGAUUUAGUGCCUCACAUUUUGCUAGAUUGAGUUUAAACCCAGAGAUUCGGCCGAAUCUAUCCAUCUCAGAUAGUAUACAUGGCAGUGUGAUCCGAGGCUGGGAGACAAAGAACAAAAGAUCGUCCGAAUAAGCAGCCACCUUAUGUUCCGUGUCCUGCCAGGUGUAACCGUGUAUGUCCUGACGAUCUCGAAUCGCUUGCAGAAGUGGCUCCAGAGAGAGUGCGAAAAGAAGCGGAGAUAAGGGGCAGCCCUGCCUGGUUCCAUUCGCAAUUCCAAAACUCGUGGUCAGCGCUCCAUUGACGCGUACCGUCGCCCUUGGUGUGCUGUAUAGUGCAGUAAUCCACGCCAUGGUUCUCUGGCCAAGACCUAUAAACCGGAG